rnacentral:rRNA from 1 species
UACGUAGGGUGCGAGCGUUAAUCGGAAUUACUGGGCGUAAAGCGUGCGCAGGCGGUUUUGUAAGUCAGAUGUGAAAUCCCCGGGCUUAACCUGGGAACUGCGUUUGAAACUACAAGGCUAGAGUGCGGCAGAGGGGGGUAGAAUUCCACGUGUAGCAGUGAAAUGCGUAGAUAUGUGGAGGAAUACCGAUGGCGAAGGCAGCCCCCUGGGUCGACACUGACGCUCAUGCACGAAAGCGUGGGGAGCAAACAGG